CUUUUGGUUAUUUUGUGAGUCAUGGAUGUUUGUUAUAAUUUAGGGGAAUAUAGGAAUACAGGAUAAAAACAAUUAUUAAUCUCAGAUAUUUUGCUUUGGCAUGGAUUUCGGUAUAUGGAUACAAUUUCAAAGCCAAUUUUUUUUACACUGUAUAUGUUUUUGCUCUUGUUUAAAGGACUUUUGGGCAUUGAAAGAAAAUUAAGCUUGUGAAUUGGGACCAGAUCCUGGCUUCUUGUCAAACCCUCCCAGGACUCCUCCAAAUGUGUGCCCUGAGAACAACAUCCAUAAGAGACACAGCAUCCUGAGAUUGGGGACUAUCUGUGUGAUGUGCUCCUAGAACCAUACCCGGCACCAGCAGGGAAAUGUUGUCAAACUCAGCCUUUGUUAGCCCACCGACAUUGUUCCGCUGACAUUGAUGGAAAUAGUCAUUUCCUUUGGGAAGCCUUUGCCAUGGAAACAAACUUGGAGCUUGGAUCUGAAUGUCUGAGUGAGAUGCAGUCCUCGGGUGCUACAGCUUCUAAUGGCUGCCAGCCCUUUGUCGAAGAGCUAUCGAAGUUAAGGUCUGCAGGACGGGGCAAAGGAACACUGGCUUGGCUGAUGCUAAGGGGCGAGGCAGAACAGGGUCGGGGCACAGAUCCUUACUGCUGGGAUAUCUGGAUUUUCAAGUCUCC
rnacentral:lncRNA from 1 species